GGUUAAGCGACUAAGCGUACACGGUGGAUGCCCUGGCAGUCAGAGGCGAUGAAGGGCGUGCUAAUCUGCGAUAAGCGCCGGUAAGGUGAUAUGAACCGUUAUAACCGGCGAUACCCGAAUGGGGAAACCCAGUGUGACUCGUCACACUAUCAUUAACUGAAUCCAUAGGUUAAUGAGGCGAACCGGGGGAACUGAAACAUCUAAGUAC
rnacentral:rRNA from 1 species